GGGGACGACAGGCUUCGACGUGGUCGGCUCGUGGGGAUGGUGGCGAGUCGAGGUCCCGGGCGGCCUCGUAAAACACCCGGGAAAACCAUAAGUGCGGACUCUCACGAGUACGCCCUCGCUGCCUAGCAAACACUAGGCGAGUGAGGUCUCGGGCCCCGCUUGCCUGCGGCGGGGAAGGCCGGGAUCAGAAAGCAGGCUCACCCGGCGAGGUCCGCCUUCGCCAAGUCGGGGAAAUCUAGGAGGCUGGUCCCCGAGAACCCCGCCGGCGAGGCGACUCGAGGAUGAGAUCAGAGCGCCGGCUACGCUCGUAGAAGCCAUUCACACGCGAUUGCGGACGUGGGUUCGAUUCCCACCGUCUCCACUG
rnacentral:tmRNA from 1 species